rnacentral:lncRNA from 1 species
CCGUUUACAAGUCACCACCACCACCCAAGAAGCCACACUACCCUCCACACAUCCCUGUUUAUAAGUCACCACCACCGCCCAAGAAGCCAUACUAUCCUCCACAUACUCCAGUUUACAAGUCGCCACCACCACCAACUCCGGUUUACAAGUCACCACCGCCACCCAAGAAACCAUACUAUCCUCCACACAUCCCUGUUUACAAAUCUCCACCACCACCUACUCCAGUUUACAAGUCGCCACCACCACCCAAGAAGCCAUACUACCCUCCACACACCCCGGUUUAUAAGUCUCCACCACCACCAACUCCUGUUUACAAGUCACCACCACCACCCAAGAAGCCAUACUAUCCUCCACACACACCAGUUUACAAGUCGCCACCACCACCUACUCCCGUUUACAAGUCACCACCACCACCAACACCCGUUUACAAGUCACCACCACCACCUAAGAAGCCACACCAUCCUUCACCAACCCCAUAUCAUCCUGCACCAGUUUACAAGUCCCCACCACCACCUAAGAAGCCAGACCACCCUUCACCAACACCGUAUCAUCCUGCACCAGUUUACAAAUCCCCACCGCCACCUACUCCAGUUUACAAGUCACCACCACCUUCAGUGAAGCCAUACCAUCCUUCAC